rnacentral:rRNA from 1 species
GAGUUUGAUCCUGGCUCAGAUUGAACGCUGGCGGCAUGCCUUACACAUGCAAGUCGAACGGCAGCACGGGAGCUUGCUCCUGGUGGCGAGUGGCGAACGGGUGAGUAAUGCAUCGGAACGUAUCCUGGAGUGGGGGAUAACGUAGCGAAAGUUACGCUAAUACCGCAUAUUCUGUGAGCAGGAAGGCGGGGGACCUUCGGGCCUCGCGCUCUUGGAGCGGCCGAUGUCGGAUUAGCUAGUUGGUGAGGUAAAGGCUCACCAAGGCGACGAUCCGUAGCAGGUCUGAGAGGAUGGUCUGCCACACUGGAACUGAGACACGGUCCAGACUCCUACGGGAGGCAGCAGUGGGGAAUUUUGGACAAUGGGGGCAACCCUGAUCCAGCCAUGCCGCGUGAGUGAAGAAGGCC